UGGAAGUCAUUAGGGAGGUGAUCUUCAUCAACCUUGAUGCCUCCAUGAUGAUGUGUGAGCGGUUCCUUCAUGACCUACAGGUCCAUAGCAGUAGCUAGAUGUCUCUCUCUCUCUCUAUGAUCUUCAAUACAAUGAUCUCUUCCAAGACCUUUCGAUGUAAUUCUCGCGAUGUGUUUGUUGGGAUCCGAUGAAUUGUGGGUUUAUG
rnacentral:lncRNA from 1 species